rnacentral:tRNA from 1 species
GGGCCGGUCGUCUAGCAUGGUUAGGACGCCGCUCUGACACGGCGGAGGUCGAGAGUUCAAUUCUCUCCCGGCCCACCA